rnacentral:rRNA from 1 species
UACGUAGGGUGCGAGCGUUAAUCGGAAUUACUGGGCGUAAAGCGUGCGCAGGCGGUUUUGUAAGCCAGAUGUGAAAGCCCCGGGCUCAACCUGGGAAUGGCAUUUGGGACUGCAAGGCUUGAGUGCGGCAGAGGAGACUGGAAUUCCUGGUGUAGCAGUGAAAUGCGUAGAUAUCAGGAGGAAUACCGAUGGCGAAGGCAGGUCUCUGGGCUGACACUGACGCUCAUGCACGAAGCGUGGG